CCCCAGGGCAGGGUGGUUCGAACACCAAUGCAGUACGGGCUGGGACGGACAUCAUCUUGUCUCUGUCUCUACUAAUUCAAAUUACACGUAACUUAUUCACUCAAAAAAAUUACAUGUAAUUUAUUCAGUUCUAGAGCAGCCAAGGGCGGGGCAUCGCACCGACGACAGUGACUGCAAUGAGGGUGAGAUGCCGAUGUUCGUGCCGGCGCCGGAGACCGUGACCACAACUCGGGGCAAGGUGCUGGUGUCAGCGACGUCGCCCGUGUUGGCCCCUUGAGUUUUGGACCUGCUGCACUCUGGUUCUGGAAGCUACCAUUCCCAUCGAACCCCUCCAGCAGCCUUCAGGAUGGAGAGGAGAAGACUGAAAAGGAUGUUGAUAUGAGGAAUUCAAGGAAGUGGAAGAGGAAGAAAGUUCUGAUGAUGGUGAUAAUUAGAAUAUCAAGUUUGACGACGAUGAUGAUUGGAACCAAGAGGAGGAAGUACGUAAGUUUCCAUCUAUUCAUAUGGAUGUUACCCUCGAUGUACUGUGACCAAAUAUGUAAUGCCUGGUUUGGUUUAAUUAUUUUCUUGUGUAUCACUAGAUAAUCAGUUAACAAGUGUUGACCAUGGUGCAUUGAUCUUAUUUAGUUGUGGUUUUGUAUGCCUCCCCCAGCUGCCACUAAAACCCACCAAAAAAUUAGCAAGAAAAUUGAUGGUGGGAGCUAGCAAUGCCAGCAGUGCCUCCUUUAGGAUUACAAAAUCGUUAAUCCUAUCUUCGCUUGCAUGUGACUGAUGGUGAUGCUACACAAGUUCUGAAGGCAGUGCCCUCCCCUUCAGCAGGAGAUCUUGCUGGUUCUGCAUGGCACAACUGGAUUAAAUAUGCUACAGCAAGCGAAGGAGUUCAACGAUGUUGUUGGAAUCAAAGGAUUCAUCAUAACGAAAUUAGACGGGACUGCUCGUGUUGGCUGU